rnacentral:rRNA from 1 species
GAUGAACGCUGGCGGCGUGCCUAAUACAUGCAAGUCGAGCGAACAGACGAGGAGCUUGCUCCUCUGACGUUAGCGGCGGACGGGUGAGUAACACGUGGAUAACCUACCUAUAAGACUGGGAUAACUUCGGGAAACCGGAGCUAAUACCGGAUAAUAUAUUGAACCGCAUGGUUCAAUAGUGAAAGACGGUUUUGCUGUCACUUAUAGAUUGAUCCGCGCCGCAUUAGCUAGUUGGUAAGGUAACGGCUUACCAAGGCAACGAUGCGUAGCCGACCUGAGAGGGUGAUCGGCCACACUGGAACUGAGACACGGUCCAGACUCCUACGGGAGGCAGCAGUAGGGAAUCUUACGCAAUGGGCGAAAGCCUGACGGAGCAACGCCGCGUGAGUGAUGAAGGUCUUCGGAUCGUAAAACUCUGUUAUUAGGGAAGAACAAAUGUGUAAGUAACUAUGCACGUCUUGACGGUACCUAAUCAGAAAGCCACGGCUAACUACGUG